rnacentral:rRNA from 1 species
GCCUAACACAUGCAAGUCGAGCGGAUGAGUGGAGCUUGCUCCAUGAUUCAGCGGCGGACGGGUGAGUAAUGCCUAGGAAUCUGCCUGGUAGUGGGGGACAACGUUUCGAAAGGAACGCUAAUACCGCAUACGUCCUACGGGAGAAAGCAGGGGACCUUCGGGCCUUGCGCUAUCAGAUGAGCCUAGGUCGGAUUAGCUAGUAGGUGAGGUAAUGGCUCACCUAGGCGACGAUCCGUAACUGGUCUGAGAGGAUGAUCAGUCACACUGGAACUGAGACACGGUCCAGACUCCUACGGGAGGCAGCAGUGGGGAAUAUUGGACAAUGGGCGAAAGCCUGAUCCAGCCAUGCCGCGUGUGUGAAGAAGGUCUUCGGAUUGUAAAGCACUUUAAGUUGGGAGGAAGGGCAGUAAGUUAAUACCUUGCUGUUUUGACGUUACCAACAGAAUAAGCACCGGCUAACUUCGUGCCAGCAGCCGCGGUAAUACGAAGGGUGCAAGCGUUAAUCGGAAUUACUGGGCGUAAAGCGCGCGUAGGUGGUUCAGCAAGUUGGAGGUGAAAUCCCCGGGCUCAACCUGGGAACUGCCUCCAAAACUACUGAGCUAGAGUACGGUAGAGGGUAGUGGAAUUUCCUGUGUAGCGGUGAAAUGCGUAGAUAUAGGAAGGAACACCAGUGGCGAAGGCGACUACCUGGACUGAUACUG